AAUAGAUAAUUAAUCAUUUCCGCGGUUUCUAAAUUAGUAUUCCAAAAAGUAAGACUAGCCACGUUUUAGUGACUCUGAGUCAGCAGUAUAGCUAUAUACUCUGGAGAAAACAUAGUCACGAUUGUGAGUGAGUGGCAUUUCGUUCGUGAAUGAGGUAUAAUUAUGGAUGGAGUAGAAAGAAAUCCACUUAAGCCUUAUUCCACGAACUUGAAGUUUUUGAACGUAUGUAUAAGUUUGACUUGCGGGAUACACAAUUAGCAUUUCUCCAGAAGGAGUCAUUGACCAGGAGCCAGUGAGUGCUACGUUUCCAUUACUAAACAUAGGAGAACUCGACAUAGGAGAAAAAAGACUGGUGUUUUGCACACUGAAGUUGCGAACAACAUCAUUUGGUUCAUUACUGCUUUGAUAAACGAUACAUGUUGAAUUAGGAUAAAGUCGUAAAUACCGGUAGUAUGUGAUCAAAUGUAUGGGUUGGUUCCAGCUCGUGUCACUAGUUCCAGGUCGAAAGUAUCGACAAACGGAUAUGUAGCAUCCGUCAAAACGAGAUCGAGGCUUUUUAAGGAACAAAGUCUUCCAGCUUUGCUGGUAUUUUUCCACGAGUUCUUCCUCUAUUGACUUAAUAGACUGUUGCCAUUCUUUUUGUUCACAACUGCAAUAACAAAACGAUCUAUAUAGAGAAUCUGCUCGUAAUGCCUUCGCAAAAUGCUUACAAGUUAGUGCAAUUGAAGAGAGAUAUCUUAAAUCAUGAAGGUCCCUAAUGCAAUUCUCUAGGAUAACUAGCAAAACCUCGUCGGGAAGCUUCAGUAUAUUGGGAACGACCGACUCAUUUACAGACUCAUUUUCCGUUAACGUUGGAGAUGGGACUGAGGAAACAGUGAGCAUAGCUUCUGAUGCAUCUGAAUUUAACAUUUCCUCCUCUUCAUUUCUUUUACACAGUUGCAAACGCUCCAAACGCCGAUAGAUAGAUUCCACAUCUUCAUGGACUUUAUGAGCUAAUCGAUAUUUAUUAAGAGAUUCACCUAAAUUUCCUUCUCUUUCAGAUUUUAUAGCAUCUUUGUAAUGUAAAAGUGCUUUUUUCAACAGUAUAUCCUUGUUCACUGUUUCAAGUUCAAGAGAAAGUUGAUCCUCUACUGUACUCAUCACUUAUUUUAUUUCUCAGACGAGCAAUCGAAAGUAGAUGUAUAAUUGAAAAAGAAAAUAUUUUCUUACUUAUUUCUCUCAAAAUAGAAAAAAAAAAAAAGAAUUCAACACGAAUAUUAAGAGGUUAAGAUAGUGCUGAACCUAACUAAUGACUUUUAUGUUUUUUACUUUUCAUACAAUUCCUAGCAAAGUAUUAACAAGGAUUUAAGGAUUAAAAGCAUCCUUUCACAAGACCUUACUUUGGUAACAAUAUGGUUUAGUUCAUGGGUAGUUAGCCGUUGCGUUUAAUAUCAAGUUGUGGCGGUUUGAUAACAAGAAGAAGAAGAUUAAAUUGAGUCAAUCGUCGCUUCUUUACUGUUUAAAAAAUGGACUAGAUAAAUAUUGUAACAUGUUUGAGAUGCUAUUUGGCUAUGGGCAUAUUUGUAGGUGUCUUCGAUUCUAUCACUUCUAACAAGGCGUUAGGACUUGCGAAACCAUUACAUAAACUUAAAACUUGUUCAAAUCAAAAGUUACUUGGCAAUAAGCUAAGUGGAUAUUAGGAUUUUAGCGAUAUAGAAAACAUUUCGAUUUGAUGAAUUAUUGUAAUAAUUACCAGCUUCAUGUAGCAUUACUGCAUUUAUUUAUGGUGAAUAUGAUAGCGAUUUUUAUUGUUAAUAAACGAGUAGAUACAUAUCCCGCUUUGCUUUCGGAUAAUUCUCAGCAUAUCUUCGUCAAAAGCAAUUGAGAUUUAGAUAUGGUUUCGGGAACACAGUCGAAACCAAACUCAUUGAUAAUGUACGAUGCCUUCCAAUCGCUAUAUGAA
rnacentral:lncRNA from 1 species